CAACCCCUCAAGCCUGGCUUGGUGAUGGGAAUCUACUCUGGUGGUAUUUAUUACCCUGUAGUUCCUCAAAUUCAACGGCGGAGUUGUAGUAUCCUCUGAGCGUAGUAAUUUUUUCUCGCUUUUGUUGGUGCUGUAAUUCUUGCCGCUAAACCCCCCAUUUUUAAAGG
rnacentral:misc_RNA from 1 species